GAGUUUGAUCAUGGCUCAGGACGAACGCUGGCGGCACGCCUAACACAUGCAAGUCGAACGGAGAUAUUUUGGUUUACUGAGAUAUCCUAGUGGCGGACGGGUGAGUAACACGUGAGCAACCUGCCUCUGAGAGAGGGAUAGCUUCUGGAAACGGAUGGUAAUACCUCAUAACAUAACGAAGCCGCAUGACUUUGUUAUCAAAGAUUUAUCACUCAGAGAUGGGCUCGCGUCUGAUUAGAUAGUUGGUGAGGUAACGGCCCACCAAGUCGACGAUCAGUAGCCGGACUGAGAGGUUGAACGGCCACAUUGGGACUGAGACACGGCCCAGACUCCUACGGGAGGCAGCAGUGGGGAAUAUUGCACAAUGGGGGAAACCCUGAUGCAGCGAUGCCGCGUGGAGGAAGAAGGUUUUCGGAUUGUAAACUCCUGUCUUAAAGGACGAUAAUGACGGUACUUUAGGAGGAAGCUCCGGCUAACUACGUGCCAGCAGCCGCGGUAAUACGUAGGGAGCGAGCGUUGUCCGGAAUUACUGGGUGUAAAGGGAGCGUAGGCGGGAUGGCAAGUCAGAUGUGAAAACUAUGGGCUCAACCCAUAGACUGCAUUUGAAACUGUUGUUCUUGAGUGAAGUAGAGGUAAGCGGAAAUUCCUGGUGUAGCGGUGAAAUGCRUAGAUAUCAGGAGGAACAUCGGUGGCGAARGCGGCUUACUGGGCUUUUACUGACGCUGAGCUCGAAAGCGUGGGGAGCAACAGGAUWAGAUACCCUGAUAGUCCACGCUGUAAAMSAUGAUUACUAGGUGUGGGGGGGACUGACCCCUUC
rnacentral:rRNA from 1 species